UACGUAGGCAGCAAGCGUUGUUCGGAAUUACUGGGCGUAAAGAGUGUGUAGGCGGUGCUCUAAGUUCGGUGUGAAAUCUCCCGGCUCAACUGGGAGGGUGCCUUGAAAACUGCUAGGCUUGAGGCAGGGAGAGGGAUGUGGAAUUCCAGGUGUAGUGGUGAAAUGCGUAGAGAUCGGGAGGAACAUCAGUGGCGAAGGCGGCCAUCUGGGACAACACUGACGCUGAAGCACGAAAGCGUGGGGAGCAAACAGG
rnacentral:rRNA from 1 species